GAUGAACGCUGGCGGCGUGCCUAAUACAUGCAAGUCGAGCGAACAGACGAGGAGCUUGCUCCUCUGACGUUAGCGGCGGACGGGUGAGUAACACGUGGAUAACCUACCUAUAAGACUGGGAUAACUUCGGGAAACCGGAGCUAAUACCGGAUAAUAUAUUGAACCGCAUGGUUCAAUAGUGAAAGACGGUUUUGCUGUCACUUAUAGAUGGAUCCGCGCCGCAUUAGCUAGUUGGUAAGGUAACGGCUUACCAAGGCAACGAUGCGUAGCCGACCGGAGAGGGAGAUCGGCCACACUGGAACUGAGACACGGUCCAGACUCCUACGGGAGGCAGCAGUAGGGAAUCUUCCGCAAUGGGCGAAAGCCUGACGGAGCAACGCCGCGUGAGUGAUGAAGGUCUUCGGAUCGUAAAACUCUGUUAUUAGGGAAGAACAAAUGUGUAAGUAACUAUGCACGUCUUGACGGUACCUAAUCAGAAAGCCAUGGCUAACUACGUGCCAGCCGCCGCAGUAAUAC
rnacentral:rRNA from 1 species